GGGGUGUUAGCUCAGUGGUAGAGCACCAGACUUUCACUCUGUGACCUAGGUUCGAUUCCUAGCCACCCUA
rnacentral:tRNA from 1 species